UCGCCCUUUCACGCUCACAGUUCCUGAGACCGAGUCUCUCGCGAUUUUUGCCUCUGCUCGUCGCCGAUGCCGCUUGCCCUCGACGCCGCUGCCGCUUGCCCUCGACGCCGCUGCCGGACGCCCUAACCCUCGACGCCGCUGCCGGACGCCCUAACCCUCGACGCCUCCGCCGGACGCCACUGGACGCCAGUCACCCCGCGCUCGUCUCGCCCUUGCCUCCUGCUCCCUUGACGCCAUCACCCCUUGCUUGCCUCGCUGCUCAGCUGCUCGCCGUUGAUGCCGACAGUGGAUGCCGCUCGUCCCCUCGGUGGAGGCCGCUCACCACUCACGCACCCUCAACGCUGCUCACCCCCGACGCCGCUCUGCCAGCCGCCCCCAACACCGCUGGCCCAGUCGGCCCUUGACACUGCUCACCAGUCAACGACGCUCGUCGCUCGCCCAGCCGGCCCUUGACGCUGCUCGCUAGCCGAUGACGCUUGCCGCUCGCCCAGCUGGCCCUUGACGUUGCUCGCUAGCCGACGAUGCUCGCCGCUCACCCAACCGCCCUUCACGUUGCUCGCCCAAUCUGCUUCUGUACAUACACCGUUGUCACAUUUCUCCAUUGCAUACAAGCUACGUAAGGCACCGAACUUAAACAAGUCCGUUCCAAACGGCCUUCUUGAAUAUAUGGAUGUGGGGAGUGCUUUUGAUAUGAAUGAGUGUAAUGGGGUGAAUAGCUUCUCAAACACGGAAGUAGAGCAGGCUUCUUAUGGAAUAUUUGUAUGUUUUGGCUGAUUAGUUCCAUUGUUUUACCCGCCUUGCAUGUUUAGGUGAUGGGACGAUCCUCACCAAAUGACAAGCUUCUGCUUGUGCAAGCUCUGAAGAAACGAGGACAUGUAGUUGCUGUUACUAGAGAUGGCACAAAUGAUGCUCCUGCUUUAAAUGAGGCACAUAUUGGCCUUGCAAUGGGUAUUCAAGGGACAGAAGUUGCUAAGGAGAGCUUUGAUAUCAUUAUUUUGGAUGAUAAUUUUGCCUCUGUUGUGAAGAUGAAGUCCUUGAAUUUAACCUAUCAUGGACACCAUGCGGUUGUCAGGUGGGGACGACCUGUAUAUGCAAAUAUCCAGAAAUUCAUCUAGUUUCAGCUUACAAUUACUUUUGCAACCAUUGGGAUAAAUGUGCAGUUUCCUCUGGCCAUGUUCCACUCAAUGCAGUGCAGCUUCUCUGGAUCAAUCUCAUCCAGGAACUUGUUGAGAGGCAGCUGGAUCUGAUAAAGGAGCUUUGCCUUUAGGCAUUGCUAAUGCUUCCACCAAUGCAAAUGUUGUAUCCUUGGAGGAAUUUAAAGAUGUGUUGCUUCAUCUUUUUUUAUUAAAGAUUUGGUUUGACUCGAUGAAAGCCUUCACGUAACUAUUACACACUGGGUCAUGGUGAUUUUUCUGCCACAAGUACAAAAGUAUUGCGCAUGGUGAAUACUCUUGCAGUUGAUAAUGAGGCAAAGCAAACCAUUCAAGGGGCAGGUCUCCUGCUUUCAAUGCACUAGCUGCUAAUUUUGAGAGCCCAAAUGCAAGAAAUGUCUCAACUCCACCACCAGUUGUCAGGAAAAACUUUGUUUUACCGGGCAGUGAGUCCUGAGACCAAAACAGAAUUCAGAGCCUAAUAACAAAGAGAACUCAUGCUUGGUCGAAGUUUGUUGCUUGCAUAAGUGAUUUUCUUGUGUUUGUCACAACAAAAGUUGCUAAGUUGCAAUCCUUUUU